AAGAGCGACCCUUUCAGUCCCCAACUCCUCAUACAUAUAGAGAACAUAUGAACAGCUGCUAUUAGGGUUAGAGAACCUUUAAUUUUCGUUCAUGGGCUCGCCGUUGUGGUCUGGGCUUUGAAAUUGAAGUUCCGGUCCAAAUCAGAAAUUCGGGCAGACUGACCUUUGGUCACUCAAACGGUCAUAACUUGGUCACCAAAAUAGCUAUUGACGAUCUGCGAAAAGUUCUGAAAACUAGACUCUUCUUGCUUUCUGCUGAUAUAAAGUUCAUCUCCUGGAUCGUUGUGAGCUGAUCACAAUUCUCUGUCGAAGUUGACUGACUAUUCCUGGCAGAUUUUCUGAUUUCUUUCCUUGCGCCAUAUGGAUUCCUUUUCCUUCAAGAUUUCUCCUCUUUUGCCUCUUUUGUGCUCCUCGGCUUUAUUUGUGACCUAAAAACACAAACUAAGUUAAAAUCAAUAUUGUUAAAGGAAUUACAUAACUAAAUAGGGUCGGAAAUACAUUAAGAACGUUGCAUAGAAUGCACCUAUCAAACGUCCCACAAAAAUUUAAGCUGUUCAAUCAAAGGUCUCAAAUACACAUCGAGACACUUUCCUGGAUAACCGGGCCCCGGAAUCAACAAACUCAACAUAUUGUAUUCCUUCUUCAUACACAUCCAUGGAGGAAGGUUGUACGGUACCAAAAUCACCGGCCAUACACUGUAUGAAGACUCAUGUUGCCAAAAGGGUUGAACCCGUCGGAUGAGAGCCCGAGCCUCACAUUUCGGACCUCUGACGCAAAAUGAGGAAACUCCUUGUCUAUAUGCUUCCAAGCCUCCCCGUCAGCAGGGUGUAUAAGGGUAUCUUCGUCAUGCAAUUCCCUAUCAGCAUGCCAUCUCAUAGCUUCGGCCAUGUGUGAAGACAUGUACAACCGCUCCAGCCUAUCCCUCAAAGGGAAAUACCGAAGUACCUUCACAGGUUUCCUGUUGCCUGUAAGAGUCAGCUUAAACCUGUCAGUGUGACAUACCGGACAUGC
rnacentral:lncRNA from 1 species